ACAGCUACACAGCGAUGUGAUGCUAAUCUCCAAACCAUGUCUCAGUUCGGAUCGGAGUCUGCAACUCGACUCCGUGAAGCUGGAUUCGCUAGUAAUCGCGCAUCAGCCAUGGCGCGGUGAAUACGUUCCCGGGCCUUGUACACACCGCCCGUCAAGCCAUGGGAGCCGGGGGUACCUGAAGUCCUUAACCGCGAGGAUCGGCCUAGGGUAAAACUGGUGACUGGGGCUAAGUCGUAACAAGGUAGC
rnacentral:rRNA from 1 species